rnacentral:rRNA from 1 species
GACGAACGCUGGCGGCGUGCUUAACACAUGCAAGUCGAACGGAAAGGCCCUGCUUUUGUGGGGUGCUCGAGUGGCGAACGGGUGAGUAACACGUGAGUAACCUGCCCUUGACUUUGGGAUAGCUUCAGGAAACUGGGGCUAAUACCGGAUAGGAGCUCCUGCUGCAUGGUGGGGGUUGGAAAGUUUCGGCGGUUGGGGAUGGACUCGCGGCUUAUCAGCUUGUUGGUGGGGUAGUGGCUUACCAAGGCUUUGACGGGUAGCCGGCCUGAGAGGGUGACCGGCCACAUUGGGACUGAGAUACGGCCCAGACUCCUACGGGAGGCAGCAGUGGGGAAUAUUGCACAAUGGGCGGAAGCCUGAUGCAGCAACGCCGCGUGCGGGAUGACGGCCUUCGGGUUGUAAACCGCUUUCGCCUGUGACGAAGCAUGAGUGACGGUAAUGGGUAAAGAAGCACCGGCUAACUACGUG